rnacentral:rRNA from 1 species
GGGCCCGCACAAGCGGUGGAGUAUGUGGUUUAAUUCGAUGCAACGCGAAGAACCUUACCAGGGUUUGACAUCCUGCGAAUCUCUUGGAAACGAGAGAGUGCCUUCGGGAACGCAGUGACAGGUGGUGCAUGGCUGUCGUCAGCUCGUGUCGUGAGAUGUUGGGUUAAGUCCCGCAACGAGCGCAACCCACGUCUUUAGUUGCCAGCAUUUAGUUGGGCACUCUAGAGAGACCGCCGGUGAUAAACCGGAGGAAGGUGUGGAUGACGUCAAGUCAUCAUGCCCCUUACAUCCUGGGCUACACACGUACUACAAUGGUGGUGACAAUGGGUUAAUCCCAAAAAGCCAUCUCAGUUCGGAUUGGGGUCUGCAACUCGACCCCAUGAAGUCGGAAUC